AUUAGGCCAUCUGUUGCCUUUUUAUAAGGUUUUGAAUUUGACAAUUUAACAAUAAUACAUUAACUUGUGAUGCAUUUAGUAAGUUGAAAAAGUAUAGUUGGGCAAGCAAAAUGUUCAUUCGAGCUGGUUGGAUAGAAAAUACAGAGAAAUAAAGUGAGAAAAAUCGAUCGAUAAUUUUUAUGUGCUGGCUAUCAUCAUUAAAUGUAAUAAAUUGUUUCAAUGAAAUGCAUAAACCGCAUCUAACUAAUACAGAUUUACGCUGCUCAAAAUUAAAUGUCAUGGAGAUAAUGAGCCACUACCAUGCUUAUGCAAGAGAAAACAUAAUA